ensembl:lncRNA
CAGGGAAUUACACAUUUAACAUAUCGUUGCUUUAAAGUAAUAAUAAAUCUAUACUAUCAUAAUAUGUUACAAUGUAAGAAGUCAAUAACAAAUAGAUCUCUGGAGUUUUGAUGUGCAAGAAUAUGUUUUUCAUAUUCAAGACUGAGCACAGAUUAGAAACACUGUGUUUCUAGUCAGGGCCCUAUUACGGUGCACUUCUGGAAUUGCUUCUGUGUGAGUGAGGGAUUGAGUGUUGGGUAAAAUUCAUUAAAACAUUUGUUGUUGAGCCAGAAGAUUUAAAAAAAAAAAGGAAUGUUUUAACUAAUGUAUUUAGCGAGACAUUGUUAAUGUGGUGAAACAAAACAGAUUUAAAUUUAGCUUGUGAUCAACACACAAAUUGUAGACUAAUUGUCUGCGCAGGAAUGCCGAUUUCUGCUCACUGCAGAUUUGAUUUAAUUCCAACCGUACGUUUUAAAUCUGACUGACUAUGAUGUCACUGUUCGCAUGAUUUCUUAUCUAAAAACGCUGGUAGGUUCUAGUUUCCUAAAACACUCUAUAGUGACCAGGGACAUGGAGUAGGUUCUAGCUUCCUAAAACCCUCUAUAGUGACCAUGGAGUAGGUUCUAGCUUCCUAAAACCCUCUAUAGUGACCAAGGACAUGGAGUAGGUUAUAGCUUCCUAAAACCCUCUAUAGUGACCGUGGAGUAGGUUAUAGCUUCCUAAAACCCUCUAUAUUGACCAUGGAGUAGGUUAUAGCUUCCUAAAACCCUCUAUAGUGACCAUGGAGUAGAUUCUAGCUUCCUAAAACCCUCUAUAUUGACCAUGGAGUAGGUUAUAGCUUCCUAAAACCCUCUAUAGUGACCAUGGAGUAGAUUCUAGCUUCCUACAACCGCCUAAAAUCACUAGCAUGCGUUAUGUUUUGUUUUGUGUCACAUCUCUUGACUUUCUACCUGCGAUUUUAAACUAAAGGAAAGCAACUCGUCUAACAGAAGAAGCAAGUAUCAUGAAGCCACGAGCACAGAAGAUAAUGCAGUCGCAUGGCACAAAGGAGUAUUGUGUUGGCAUCCAGUGGCUGCGUCAAAACUGGAAUAUUUAAUAAUCAAUCCUCUAUUUGAAAUACAUUUUUAGAACUGAACUGAAUACAUAAAAAAUAAAGAAUAAAGUAGACUUGACUAAAUGCCGUUGCCACGAACAGUAGCGGAGAUAUUGAGAUGAGCAAGUAUUGCUCUCACACAGUAUCUGCACCAAGUGUACUGGUUUUGAUUUUUCACGGGACCAAAACAGAGGAGAAGUUGAGCCUCGCGCUUCAACACUCUUAGUUGUAGUGGAAAUUGGCCCACGAUGCUGUCUACCUUUUAAUUAUUGACCAUUCCCCCCCC